rnacentral:rRNA from 1 species
AUUGAACGCUGGCGGCAUGCCUUACACAUGCAAGUCGAACGGCAGCACGGGAGCAAUCCUGGUGGCGAGUGGCGAACGGGUGAGUAAUAUAUCGGAACGUGCCCAGUCGUGGGGGAUAACGCAGCGAAAGCUGUGCUAAUACCGCAUACGAUCUAUGGAUGAAAGCGGGGGAUCGCAAGACCUCGCGCGAUUGGAGCGGCCGAUAUCAGAUUAGCUAGUUGGUGAGGUAAAGGCUCACCAAGGCGACGAUCUGUAGCUGGUCUGAGAGGACGACCAGCCACACUGGAACGAAGACACGGUCCAGACUCCUACGGGAGGCAGCAGUGGGGAAUUUUGGACAAUGGGCGAAAGCCUGAUCCAGCAAUGCCGCGUGCAGGAUGAAGGCCUUCGGGUUGUAAACUGCUUUUGUACGGAACGAAACGGUGAGCUCUAAUACAGUUUGCUAAUGACGGUACCGUAAGAAUAAGCACCGGCUAACUACGUGCCAGCCGCCGCCGUAA